AGCAUUAUAUGUAAUAGUAUUACAUGGAGUCUAUUUCAGUAAGAUCAGAGAUAUACAGUAUCUAUCACUACUUCUAUUUUGAGACAAUGUAGAAAUGCAACCUAGCAAUAAGAAAAAAUACAUAAGUUGAAGGAAAAAGUAUAGGCAAAAAAGAAACACAAUUAUCUUUUUGCAGAUGACAUAGUGGUUCAUUUAGAAAACCCCAAAGACUCAAUUAAAAAUUAAUUGAAAUGAGAACUUCAGUAAAGUUGGAGAAUAUAAAAUAAAUCUAUACAAAUCAUCAAUGUGUAUGUAUAAUAGUAAGAUCUAGCAGAAAGAAGCAGAAAGGUCAGUUUAAAGUAAUUAAGAAAUAUAUGUGAUACCUGGGAGUUUAUUAAGUAGCAUAUACACAGGAACUAUAUUUAUAUAACUACAAAAUACUUUUGGGAAAUAAGCUUAAAUAAUUGAAGGAAUAUUAGUUGUUCACUGGUAGUUUAAGUUGAUAGAAUAAAGAUAAUAUUACCUAAAUUAAUUGACUUAUUCUGGGCCAUAACACAUAACACUGGGCCAUAACAAUACCAAAGGAUUGCUUUAUUGACCUAGAAAAAAUAUAACAGAAUUAAUCAGGAAGAUCAAAAGAUCAAGAAUACCAAGAAAAACAAUGAAAAAAAAGUGAAAAAAGAGGGUCUGACAGAACCAGAUUUCAAAUCAACUUUCAAAGUACAGUUAAAAAAUAGAGAAGUAAAUUGGUCAAUGAGCAUUAAUAGCUAGCAUUUCUAUUGUACUUUAAGAUUUGCAAGAUGCUUAACAAUAUUAUCUCAUUUGAAAGCCACAAUAACCCAGGAAGUAGGUACUAUUAUUAUCCCCAUUUUACAGAUGAGAAAUUAGAGGCUAAGUGAUUUAUCCAGCAUCAGACAGCUAAAAAGCUCCUGAGUCUGGGCUUGAAAUGAAUGAGGUCUUUUCCAAUUCCCUCUCAAUAUUCUAUCCAAUGUGCUAUUUAAAUACAAAUUAAAAAUACACUGAAAUUUCACCUCACACUCAUCAGUUUUGCAAAGUUGACCCAAAAAUCCUGUUGGAGUUAAUCUAUGAAGAACUAAUACAUUUAUGGAUUGUUGCUAGAGCUAUGAAUUAGUACCAGCAUUCGAGAAUGCGAUCUGAAAUUAUGACCCCAAACUGUCACGAAGAUGAACUUACAUUUUGACUCUUGAGAGUCAAAUCAAAUUUUGAUGAAAUCAAAGAGAAAUUUUUAUUUCUUUUUUGUUUGAAAAACAUCGUUUUUUCAUUGGUUGCUCUUUUCUUGGUAAUAAACAACAACGAUGGCAACAAAACAACUCCCCCCCCCAAAAAAAAAAAAAAAAAAAAAACCCUGGAAACGAACAAUGUGCUUUCCUGUUGGGGAUGAGCUAAACAAAUUAAGGCAUGCAAAUUUAAUUGGAUAUUAUUGCACUAUAAGAAAUGACAAAAUAAACAGUUUCUGAGAAGAUUGGGAAGCUCUGUAUGAGCUGAUACAAAAUGAAGUCAGCAGAACAAGGCCAAUUUACAGUAGAAUGUGACAUUAUAAUUGUAAAUCCUUCUGAAUGACUUAAGAACUCUGAUCAAUGAACUGUUGGACCAUGGUUCCAGAAGAUCAAUAAUAAAAAAUACUACUUGCUUCCUGAAAAAGAGGGACACAAAACGAACCAUCUUUUUUUGUACUUGAACAAUAUGGGAAUUUAUUUUCCUUGACGGUGUAUACUUGUUAGAAGGACACACACACACACCGCAGGGUGGGAUGUGGAAGAAAGAGAGAAGAAAUUUUUAUUCAUUGAAAAGAACUUAACGAUGAAAUUGUUUUUUAAAAAAGUAAGUUGGAUUAAGUGGCUGUCGGAAUCCUUUCACUUCUAAGGACCAUGAUUGAAGUGACAACAAUUCAGAAAAAUCCUGACCCCAUCUGUCCUAGACUGUUUUCACUGAGACUAUUUCUGGGCAGGGCAACUUGAGGGCUAAGUGGUGUAAGUAUUUUCGGGCUUGAACUCUCAGAGCCACCCAGAGUCUUCUGUUUCCUCUGUCCUCUGGCUAGAUGUUUGAGACAACCCCAAGGGGCCCCUGCCAGCUGGGGCUGGGAGAAUGAGGGCCUAGACCCCAAUAGGUAGAAAGUAGGGAGAAAGCCUGCGCUUGAGGCCCUGGAAGACAGAACUAGAUUCUGUGUCCAGGUAGAGAGGGUGAAAGAUUCCAGAUGGAGAGAGCCUGAACAGAUGGAAAGAGUGAAGAAAAUGAAAUGAGAGAUUGGGGAAUCAAAGGGAUAGGAUACACAGGGUUCCUUGGGGACUGAGCCAGAUGGGAAACAGAAUUGGGUUGGGUUGCAGGGCACUCUGUCUAGGGACAGAACUGGUAACUGAGCCCCUCAGUGAAGGGGUUACACAAAGAUUUGCCAGGUGGAGGGGGAGAGAGAUAACAAGAGACUGCAAUAUGACUGUAAUCUGACCAUUAAACCCCCAAACUAGUUGGUUAAGUACAACAUACUUCACUGUAGCUCCUAGAUCACCCCUUCCUCAGCCAAACCUCCUCUUCCUACUUGUCAUGUUCCCCACUUUCAGACAAUGUCAGGGAAAGAAUUCUGGGCUUGUAUACAAGGUUUUGACAGUGUGGUGUAGUGGAUAGAGCAUUAUAAGACUUGGAAUUAAGAAUUUCUAUGUUUGAAUUCUGCCUCAGACACUUAUGAGGAAGACGCUUCACUUAUUUGAGUCUUAAGAACUUCAUCUGUCAAAGAUGGCCUUAGGUCCCUUCACUUAUGAUCUGCCAGAAACUCUAUAUUCCUUUGUGAAAAACAUUUGACCUUCCUGGACCUUGGUUUCUCCUUUUGUAAAAUGAGGGGUUGGGCUGGAAUAGGUUUUUGCUUAAGAACUCUGCAACUCCAGGUUGUCUCUUAUCCAAUGAAAGGGCUUUAUGUGGUUUAUAUGGGGAUUUCAGAAACAGUUUUCAAGAAGAUGUCCUUGCAUUAGAUUCAGUAGCAAAAAUCAUGGGCUGUAAUGGGCAAAAAAAAAAAUGGUGGAUUUGCAAUCAGAGAUAUGGGUUUCUUUUUACAAUGGGACCACUUAUUAUGUGAUGACCUCAAGUGGACCUUCCUCUCUCUGGGAUGCAACUUUAACUCCUGUAAAAAUAACUGAGUUUACCAAGUCUGUUCUAAAGAGAUCAUAAGAGAGGGAAAAGGACCCACAUGUGUAAAAGUGUUUGUGGCAGCCCUUUUUGUAGUGGCAAGGAACUGGAAACUGAGUGGAUGCCCAUCAGUUGGAGAAUGGCUGAAUAAGUUAUGGUACAUAAAUGUUAUGGAAUAUUAUUGUUCUGUAAGAAUGAUUUCAGAAAAGCCUGGAGAGACUUACAUGAACUGAAGCUGAGUGUAAUGAGCAGAACCAGGAGAACAUUGUGCAGAGCAACAAGAAGAUUAUGUGAUGAUCAGUUGUGAAGGACUUGGUUCUUCUUAACAAUGCCAUGAUUCAGGCCAGUUCCAGACCUGUGAUGGAAAAUACCAUCUGCAUACAGACAGAGAACUGUGGAAACUGAAUGUGGAGCAAAGGAUAGUAUUUUCAUCUUUUGUUUAGUGAUCAAGACAUAGUAUUUUCACGUUUUUUGGUUUGUUUUCUUUCUCGUGUUUUUUUUUUCCCUUUAAGUCUGAUUUUUCUUGCACAACAUGACAAAUAUGCAAAUAUGUUUAAAAGAAUUGCACAUUUUUAAUCUGUAUCAGAGGGGGGAAGUGAGGUAAGAAGGGAGAAAAAUUUGGAGUACAAAGGCUUGCAAAAAUGAAUGUUGAAAACUGUCUUUACGUGUAUUUGGA
ensembl:lncRNA